UACGGGGGGGGCAAGCGUUGUUCGGAAUUACUGGGCGUAAAGAGCUCGUAGGCGGCCUGUUGCGUCCGCUGUGAAAGCCCGGGGCUUAACCCCGGGUCUGCAGUGGAUACGGGCAGGCUAGAGGUAGGUAGGGGAGAAUGGAAUUCCCGGUGUAGCGGUGAAAUGCGCAGAUAUCGGGAGGAACACCGGUGGCGAAGGCGGUUCUCUGGGCCUUACCUGACGCUGAGGAGCGAAAGCGUGGGGAGCGAACAGG
rnacentral:rRNA from 1 species